GAUUUCUACUUGUCGAGUUCAUUUCUACCUCGUCAAGACACCCACCCUAAUUUUGGUUACAAAUUCCAUCUGGUUCUUACCUUGACUACACAUAACAUUGGACCAUUCGCAUAACUGUCAAAAUCAAAAUCAUUUUGCGCCAGAAAACUUACUGACGCGUUUCAUCAAGUUCUGCGAAGAGAUUUUUUUUAAGAAUUGCGUGCCAAAAAACUUCAUAAGUAUCCAAUUCCUGCUGGAUUUGUGGAGGUUCAUGGGGGGUCUCUGGAAUUGCCGUCAUAAACUUUUUGCUGCCUGGCAAAUAUGAAUGCAUUUAUAGGAGUCCUCUAGCUGCCAAAGCUGCAUCAUGAAGCUGCCAAAGAUCCCGAAGGAAUUCCUAGAUCUUCCAUCUGGUGGCAGGCUGCCAUCGCCAGUAUGAGUUUGCGUAUUGUCCAGUUUUCUUAACCUAUAAGUUAAUGUAAUGUGUUUUAUUUUUUGAAAAAUAAAUAGGGAAAGGGAGCUGGGGCAUGGUAGGAACCAGGGUAGGAGUGGUAAAGAGAUCCGCCCGGGUUGACAGUCCUCCAAGAAUCGUGCCUGCCGUGAAAGGAAAUCCGCCAGCGUGUCGACCAAGCGGCGUCAUAAAGUGAUCCAUCUGGAAGUUGCCACUAAUCCCAGAGUUCGCCAAUCGCAAAAAAAUCUGCCCGGAUGUUGCCUGAGUGUUAUCCAAACGGCGUCGUAAGGGAAUCCGUCCAGUUUUCAGAGAGUUUUGGAAUUCCGUCGGUGGUUUACACAUGUAAGUUCUGCAGUAAG